rnacentral:lncRNA from 1 species
UUACUUGGGUCUGAGUCUUCCAGGCAGUUGUCCUAACUUUAGCUCAGGAAACUUUUUUUUUUGAGACAGAGUCUCGCUCUGUCUUCCAAGUUAGAGUAUAAUGGUGCGAUCUCAGCUCACAGCAGCCUCUGCCUCCCAGGGUCAGAUGAUCCUCCUGGCCUCAGUGUCCUGAGUAAAUGGGAUACUACAGGCAUGUGCUACCACUCCUUGGUCAACACCCUCACCACUCAACUGAUAUCUUACUGCUUUUAUGAAGCCUUCCUUGAUUCCUCCGGCGGGGUGAUACCUCUCUCAGUAUCUUCCGUGGUAUGUUGAUGAAGAAAGACAUCUCAAUUUCCCUCUGAAUCUCCAGCUUCAGGGCAUGGCAGGCCAUUUGAAGACUUCUGGAGUCAAGAGAUAAAGGGAAGCAUUAGUUCCAUUGGGUCCCGUUUGAUCUUUAUACCAUCAACACGGGGCUCAGAGCUUCCCUGCUUCCCUUUCGCUCGUCAAGGUCGCCAGAAGGACAUGGGCCUUUUGAUGUUCAAAGACAGUCUGAACGCCUCGCCUGGCCUUCUGAGCCUGAGCGUGCUGUUGGCAGGCUCUUCUGAAUCAAGUUGGGGCAGAGGAGGAUUCCUUGUCUCUUUCUGAGGCAGAUCCCACAGUCGUUAGGAGCUGGAUGAGCACGUUCUUUAAUAGAUUUCCUUUUUAUUUUUCUGGGUCUCAUCUGAAAUUUUUGACCCUUGCAUGUCUCCAUUCUCUCAACCUUCUUUCUGAUCAGAAAAUUCCUUUUGUAAUUUUGGCUACACAAGAGUAGCAAGGAAUGCUUAGGGGGCAAACAGAGUACUUCGAGAACAGCAUGCAUUCGGGCCAAGCUCCCAAGGCCAUGCUGAGCAUACCUCUCUGCAGCUCACAGCUUCGGGAAGCUGAGAGGAACAGAGGUCCUCAAUCUCAGAAAGAAACAAAAGCAGAUCACGGAAUCACCCCUCCCUUUUCCCUUAGUGAAAUAUUUUAAUGAGUUUUGAGGCUGUCUCUGUGUGUAUGAAAUGCCAGGGGUCUGCAUCUCAGCUGUUAUGACCAGAGGUCUUCUCUUGGGUGCUGGUGACGACUGAGGACUAGCUGGCUUCAGGAGAGCUGCUUCAGCUGCUUUUCCUGCCAGCCACACAGCAGGAGCAAGAAACAACUUUGGCUGGGCAUGGUGGCUAACGACUGUAAUCCCAGCACUUUGGGAAGCCAAGCCAGGAGGAUCAGGAGGUCAGGAGUUCAAGACCAGCCUGGCCAACAUAGUGAAACCCCAUCUCUACUAAAAAUACAAAAAAUUACCUGGGCCUGGUGGCGGACGCCUGUAAUCCCAGCUACUUGGGAGGCUGAGGCAGGAGAAUCACUUGAAGCCGGGAGGCAGAGGUUUCAGUAAGCAGAGAUCACACCACUGCACUCCAGCCUGGAUGACAGUGCGAGACUCCAUCUCAAAAAAAAAAUAAAAAAAUAAAAAAAAUAAAAAGCAAAAGAAACAACUUUGCAGUUGUUUUUUUGCAGUUGUUGCACUGAGAGGAGUAGGAGGUAAGAGAGAGAGGGGCAUGUGUUAGUUUGCCUGCUGUCACUCAGUGACUUGGAGGAAUGGAGAUUUAGAUCAAGGAUACAUGUCCAAGAAGGGAGACAAUAUGUCACAGUAUCCCCAAAACGAACCAUGGGGCUGGGCUCAGAGACAUGGGAGCAUAGCUUGGGAACUUAAAGACACAACUCAAGUCACUAGAUUCUCUGACUCCCUCCGCCCCAGCCUCUGCAUUUAUUGGUCCCUUACAAUUAUGGUGACUCAGAAUGUCUCAGUUUCUACUUCUAGCACUCAGGACACAGCCCAUUGGUGAUCUGAUUCUCCACCCUUUGCAUAUGUUUGUUUCUGUUGCUCUGAUCUUUGGCUUACUCAUGGAGUCUACCUACUUUUGGGCCUUCAUGGCCUGUCUUCCUUCUGUGUGAUUUUCAGUACUCUUUGGCUCCCACUCCCACAAUUAGCUGUUGAUUCUUUUUUCCUGUACCUUCUGUGUAAGUUCAAUAGAAAGAGAAUUUUUGAUUGGUUGGAGUGAAUCAUCACUAGCCUUCCUGCUCUUUGGUCAUGAGGUACUUCAUAGGUCCAACCUAUAGAGUUGGCCAACCUUGGGGCAGGAGCUCACCCUAACUCCAGCCAGCUUGGCCAGAGGCACCAACACGCUGGUCAAAGCAGGGCAGCACAUAGAAGAUUUGAGAAAUGAUCUGCUUAAUGCAAUGGGUUUUAGGGGAUGACAGUUCUUUCACUUUGUAGCUGUGUGACCUUGGGUGACUUCUUUAAUUUUUCUGAGCUUAUUUCUUUGCCUGUAAAAAUGUGGAUGAAGAUACUAUCUUGCAGUGAUGUGUGGAUUAGAGGUAAAUUAUCUAAAGUAUCUAAUAAACAAUGUGUGCUCAGGUGCUUCAUAAAUACUUUUUAUUAUGACGCUGCUGCAUUGGUCUGCCUGAGUCUGGAUUUUGCAUGUUGCUCUGACAUAAUUUUGGUGGCAGGAGCCCAUAUUUUGAUUCAGAUCCCAUGAUUCCAAAAACACUAUCUUUGGUGGUAAAAAUAAGAAUCAAGUAAGUGCAGAGGGCAUCACUAAGAAACACUGAGGAUAUAUUCCUGAUUACGUUUUAAGGUCACCGGAAAGUCUGGCUGGAAAUAAAAGGCAAGAUUCGGGAUGCUUCCUCUUCAGUCAUUGAACAAGCGUGACUCCAGUUAAAUCUGAAAUGAGACAGCAGUCAAGGUUUCUUGGCUCAUCUCUUUCAACAAUUCAUUUAAGAAUAGCUGCAAUACCUUUGAAGUAAGACUAUUUGAGUAAGACUUUUAAGAAACAGUGGUGAUAGUUUAGAGAUACGUGAAUGAGAUAAAUGCGCAUUCACUGUGAGAAACCCUGAUGUCUGGUUAUCAAUGAUUUGCAAUUAAUGGACACAGCAGAAGCUGCAAUCAACCCUGAUCAGAGCCAUCUGGAGAAGAAGCAGAACAAAACUAGGACAUUCUCCCCCAGCUAUGACCCCUGAGAGAGAAAUUAGUGAUUGCCCACAGGCUUCUCGAUCGAUCACUCCCCUUGGCUAGCUUAGCAUAUGCUCCACUCUUCCACCUCCUUCUGGAUUUCAGGUUUAAUUCCCAGCCACCAGACAGAGCUUCUAGCCAACUCUUCCAUGUGAAGGAUUCCGAGGUAAGCUACAUACAGUAGAGCCAAGCCUUAAUAUAAACGUGAUUCUUCAUAGAGUGCUUUGUAGCCAGAUAGCUGAUGUUGAUCA